GGCAGUGCUUCCGCCAGUACGCCAAGGACAUCGGCUUCAUUAAGCUGGACUGAGCGCCGGGAGGAUGAGGCUGUCGCUAGAAGCUCCCGGGGCUUCUCUGGGCCUCCCCGACACAUCUACAGCAUCUCGGCACAGCCCUACUUAAUAAACAGAUCUCCCUGCCCGAC